GAUGAACGCUGGCGGCGUGCCUAAUACAUGCAAGUCGAGCGAACAGACGAGGAGCUUGCUCCUUCGACGUUAGCGGCGGACGGGUGAGUAACACGUAGGUAACCUACCUAUAAGACUGGGAUAACUUCGGGAAACCGGAGCUAAUACCGGAUAAUAUUUCGAACCGCAUGGUUCGAUAGUGAAAGAUGGCUUUGCUAUCACUUAUAGAUGGACCUGCGCCGUAUUAGCUAGUUGGUAAGGUAACGGCUUACCAAGGCAACGAUACGUAGCCGACCUGAGAGGGUGAUCGGCCACACUGGAACUGAGACACGGUCCAGACUCCUACGGGAGGCAGCAGUAGGGAAUCUUCCGCAAAGGGCGAAAGCCUGACGGAGCAACGCCGCGUGAGUGAUGAAGGUCUUCGGAUCGUAAAACUCCGUUAUUAGGGAAGAACAAACGUGUAAGUAACUGUGCACGUCUUGACGGUACCUAAUCAGAAAGCCACGGCUAACUACGUG
rnacentral:rRNA from 1 species